rnacentral:rRNA from 1 species
AGCGAACGCUGGCGGCAGGCCUAACACAUGCAAGUCGAACGAACCCUUCGGGGUUAGUGGCGGACGGGUGAGGAACACGUGGGAAGGUUCAUGUAGGUUCGGAAUAACUCAGGGAAACGUGUGCUAAUACCGAAUGAGUCCUUCUGGGGCAGGAUUUAUCGCCUUUAGAGCGGCCCGCGUCUGAGUAGCCAGUUGGUUGAGGAAAUGGCUCACCAAGGUGACGAAGAUUAGCUGGUCUGGGAGGACGAACAGACACAUUGGGACUGAGACACGGCCGAAACUCCUGCGGAAGGCAGCAAUGGGGAAUCUUGCGCAAUGGGCGAGAGCCUGACGCAGCCAUGCCGCGUAAAUGAUGUAGUUGUUAAGAUUGUAAAAUUCUUUCACCGGGGACGAUAAUGACGGUACCCGGAGAAGAAGCCCCGGCUAACUUCGUG